rnacentral:lncRNA from 1 species
UUGUAUUAUUAGUAGAGACUGGGUUUCACCAUGUUGGCCAGGCUGCUCACAAAACUUUGACCUCAGGUGAUCUACCCACCUUGACCUCCCAAAGUGCUGGGAUUACAGGCAUGAGCCACUGCACCCAGCCACAUAUAAACAAUUUCAUCUAUGUCCAUAGCUCUAAUAUAUAGCCUAGAUUAGGUUAUCACUCAAUAUCAGUUUUAAAUCCUGUAAAAUGGGGAUAAUUAUAGUUUGUA